ensembl:misc_RNA 7SK 7SK RNA
GGAUGUGAGGGCGAUCUGGCUGUGAUAUCUGUCACCCCAUUGAUCACCAGGGUUGAUUUGACUGAUCUGGCUGGCUAGGCGGUGUCCCCUUCCUCCCUCACCGCUCCAUGUGCUUACCUCCCAAAGCUGCCCGCUCGGUUGAAGAGGACGGCCUUCCCCAAAUAGAGACUGACCGGUCUUCGGUCGAGGGUAUACAGUAGCUGAGUAGCUGUGCUCCCCUGCUAGAACCUACAAACAAGUUCUCAAGAAUUGAGUUCCUAGGACUGGUGAAUUAGUUCAUGUGGAUAGUGUGCUGCUUUGCACUACAUACAAUCC